rnacentral:rRNA from 2 species
AACGCUAGCUACAGGCUUAACACAUGCAAGUCGCGGGGUAACAUCUGGGAGAGCUUGCUCUUCCAGGAUGACGACCGGCGCACGGGUGAGUAACGCGUAUCCAACCUGCCCGUCACUUGGGAAUAACCUUGCGAAAGUAAGACUAAUGCCCAAUGACAUUUAUAGAAGGCAUCUGAAAUGAAUUAAAGAUUUAUCGGUGAUGGAUGGGGAUGCGUCUGAUUAGCUUGUUGGCGGGGUAACGGCCCACCAAGGCGACGAUCAGUAGGGGUUCUGAGAGGAAGGUCCCCCACAUUGGAACUGAGACACGGUCCAAACUCCUACGGGAGGCAGCAGUGAGGAAUAUUGGUCAAUGGGCGAGAGCCUGAACCAGCCAAGUAGCGUGCAGGAAGACGGCCCUAUGGGUUGUAAACUGCUUUUAUAGGGGAAUAAAGUGAGCCACGUGUGGCUUUUUGCAUGUACCCUAUGAAUAAGGACCGGCUAAUUCCGUGCCAGCAGCCGCGGUAAUACGGAAGGUCCGGGCGUUAUCCGGAUUUAUUGGGUUUAAAGGGAGCGCAGGCCGUGGGUUAAGCGUGUCGUGAAAUUCCGUCGCUCAACGGCGGACGUGCGGCGCGAACUGGUCCACUUGAGUACGCGGGACGUUGGCGGAAUUCGUGGUGUAGCGGUGAAAUGCUUAGAUAUCACGAAGAACUCCGAUUG